AUUGAACGCUGGCGGCAGGCUUAACACAUGCAAGUCGAGCGAGCGGCGGACGGGUGAGUAAUGUCUGGGAAACUGCCUGAUGGAGGGGGAUAACUACUGGAAACGGUAGCUAAUACCGCAUACCAUCAGAUGUGCCCAGAUGGGAUGAGAUAGUAGGUGGGGAAAUGGCUCACCUAGGCGACGAUCCCUAGCUGGUCUGAGAGGAGGACCAGCCACACUGGAACUGAGACACGGUCCAGAUUCCUACGGGAGGCAGCAGUGGGGAAUAUUGCACAAUGGGCGUAAGCCUGAUGCAGCCAUGCCGCGUGUGUGAAGAAGGCCUUCGGGUUUUAAAGCACUGUCAGCGAGGAGGCGUUACUCGCAGAAGAAUCACCGGCUAACUCCGUGCCAGCCGCCGCGGUAAUUC
rnacentral:rRNA from 1 species